CCCGUAAAUUGCACAUAUGAGUAAAAAGCUUGUGCCCAAAAUUUUAAUGUUUCCUGUGACUGAGAUAACUAAGCUGAUUGUGAGUUAUCGCUUAAAAAUAGCAAAUUUACGUAAUGGGUUGAACAAUCUUCACUUAUCUAGCUAAUCAAUAAACGAAGUGGUCACUAAUGAUCCUGAGUUCCAUUUAUAAACCCAGCUCAAUUUUAU
rnacentral:lncRNA from 1 species